rnacentral:rRNA from 1 species
CGUAGGGUGCGAGCGUUAAUCGGAAUUACUGGGCGUAAAGCGUGCGCAGGCGGUUUAGUAAGACAGGCGUGAAAUCCCCGGGCUCAACCUGGGAACUGCGCUUGUGACUGCUAAGCUAGAGUACGGCAGAGGGGGGUGGGAUUCCACGUGUAGCAGUGAAAUGCGUAGAGAUGUGGAGGAACACCAAUGGCGAAGGCAGCCCCCUGGGUCGAUACUGACGCUCAUGCACGAAAGCGUGGGUAGCAAACAGGAUUAGAUACCCUGGUAGUCCACGCCCUAAACGAUGUCAACUAGGUGUUGGGAGGGUAAAACCUUUUAGUACCGGAGCUAACGCGUGAAGUUGACCGCCUGGGGAGUACGGCCGCAAGGUUA